UACGUAGGGCGCAAGCGUUGUCCGGAAUUAUUGGGCGUAAAGAGCUCGUAGGCGGUUUGUCGCGUCUGCUGUGAAAACCUAAGGCUCAACCUUGGGCUUGCAGUGGGUACGGGCAGACUAGAGUGCGGUAGGGGUGACUGGAAUUCCUGGUGUAGCGGUGGAAUGCGCAGAAUAUCAGGAGGGAACACCGAAUGGCGAAGG
rnacentral:rRNA from 1 species